rnacentral:lncRNA from 1 species
GAGUCCGUUUGAUACCCGAACAGUCGACCAUAGCGGCACCAUCAUCGGUUUAUUAGCGAACUUUUUCACAGUUUUUAAAACAGUGUGUCGGGCCGCAAACCACUCUCUCUACUUAGCCCAAGCCCACUCUACAUAGCCCACAACCCACCUAACCUAGCCCCAUGAUCAAAGCCAUCUGAUCAUGAUCGAACGACCCGAAUCGGGCUAAAAGUAGCUAAUCCUAGCCCCAUUUUGCUAUAAAUAGACCCCCAACUUGCCUAAUUUGGACCCCAGCCCUAAUCCCCCUCAUUUUCUGUGGCCCACCAAUCCCCAGCCACCGCACAGCCAGCCUCUCCUCUCUCCUCUUGCUCCAGGCUGGUGGAGCCCAAAUCAGGCCUGCACGACCCCAUCGGCCGUCGCCGCUAGCCCGAGGCGCCAUCACGAGCGCUGCCACCGCCUCGCGUGCUAGAGCUCAGCUCCUCCCUGCACUGCUUCGCACCGACUGAAGCCCCCGCGGACGACCUCCAGUAGGCCAGGUAGCCGUGCCUAACCUCGCCGCAGCCGUCGCCAGACCAGGCCACUGGCGCCGUCGUUCGGAUCCCUGCACGAGGCAACCUGGUUCCCCGAGUCCGCCAUCUUGACCCGCUGUCCCACAUCCACCAAUUUGUGCCAGAGAGGUCGGAUCCGUCGCGCUCUCACGCCCCCAUUUCGUCAGGGACCGCCGGAGUGCCUCGUCGGCCGCUGCGACAUUUGCCUCCGUCGUUGUGGCCGCCCGUGCCUCAUAUCGGUCGAGAUAGAGGAGGGUGAGUGACUCGUCUUCUCGGCCCAAGCGCAGUCGAGUUGGCCUGCCCGCCACCCGUGUGGGCUAGCCUCACCCUCCGCCAGCCCAAAGGUGCAAGGCCCAUCCGCAUUGCCUUGUCAGGCUACUCCACUUCUGGGCCUAGGGCCGAUAUGGUGAGCGCCUCCCCUAAGCCCCAUCAACGAGCGUCGUUCAGUUUUGUUGUGCCUAUGUGACGUUCGGUCCGUUAAUGUUUUUAUUAUGUUCUCCGGAUUUAGCAAUUAUCCAUGACAUGUCAGAAUUACAGAAAAUUGCAUUUAAAAAAAAUGCCCAUAUCUAUUUAUUCAUGCAUGCGAUUAAAAAAAUUAGGUAUGAAAACUUCCCAGAAUUUUAUGUGGAUUAAUAAUAUGUAACUUUCAUGCAUGCUAAAAAUAAUUAAAUGUGUUGUUUGCAUUAUUUUGUGUGAGGCCAUAUUAAAUUGGUUAAAUUAAUAGAAAAAUGACCGUGCAUCGGAUUUAAAAACUUCAUACAUGAAACAUGCUUAGAAUUUUAUGUAGUUCCACGAUAUCCAACUUUCAACCAUGUUUAAAUUAAUUAACUUGUUGUUUUCAUUUAUUGUGUGUUAUGACAUGCUAAAACAGUUUUCAUCAUAACUGUAUAACAGUAGCUCCGAUUAAAAUGUUUCGUAUAUGUAACUUGGCUAGAAAAAUGCGUAGCAUAACAUGGUGGCAUUUUUUCUUGUUUUUAAACUCCAAAAUUGUGAUUUAGGCAGAUCUGUAGCAAAUUCAAAAUUACAUAUGGGAACUUUCCGGAUUGGUGAUCGUUGUUCCAACCUCAUUUAAACUUGUGUAGAAUAUAAUGUAGCUUCAUAAUAUCGUGUACAUCCAUGAUUUAACAUGCCGUGGUUGUCAUUUGCAUGCAUUUUGCAUUCAUGCAUAUUAUCUUGUGUUGCUCAUAUCUUUUAAACCGUUGCUCCGUUUUAGAUUAUCUAUAUAUGUAAACCGACUAGAAUGAAGUGUAGAAGCACAUGUUCCACUUUAUUUUUCUGUUUAAUAAAUAUAAAAUAUUUUUAGAUUAGAUCUGUACAUAUUUCAAAAUUAACACAUGGGGUCAUUUCGGAAACGCUAUAUGUUGUUUCCGACCUUACUUAAAAUGCCUAGAUAGUGUAGUUUAUUUAUGCUUCACCUCUUGCCUUGUAUAAUAACAUUUAAUUUUGUCGUGUACCUAACGGGAGUGAGCUAAGUAAUUCAAUAUGUAGUUUCAUCAUUAUGCAACGAGUUGCAUAUUGAGCUUCACUUAAUGUGUAGUAAUUGAUUGUUGUGCUUUGUCAUACCAUGCAUAAUUAAACCGGACAUGCAUCAUAUGUGUUUGUGCAUCAUGUCAUGCAUAUGUUGUAGUGAGUAUCGUGUGUUGAUUCUUGUUUCUGGAUUGCUUCUUCUUGAUAGAGUUCCGCAAGCAUGUCGGAAUGUGAGGAUUCGUUCGACUAUGUUGGUUCGUCUACAUCAUGUAUUCGUUCUUCUUCCAAGGUGGAUCACACCCAAGAUGACCAUUUCCCUAGAUACCAUUACUAUAAUUACCAUGCUAUUUGACUCGCUUCUUUCGCUAUGUCUUGCUGCCUACCACCUGUUUAAUAAGCCUCCCAACAUUGGCAUGAGAAACCUCUAACCCUUCCAUAACCCACUAAAUCACUCUUUGGCUAUGAUAUCGCUUGCUCAGCCUUCAUGCGAAACAUGGGUUCCUUGUUAUAUCAUCAUAUUAUUGCUAAUUAAUUUAAUGCACCUAUAUAUUUUGUAAAAGGUGGAAGGCUUGGCCUUCUAGCCUGGUGUAUUGUUCCACCUUUGUCGCCUUAGUUUCGGCUACCGGUGUUAUGUUCCAUAACUGAGCGCUCCUAACAUGCUUGGGGUUGUUAUGGGGACCCCCUAGAAUUUUUUUUGGUAUAAAACUCAUCUCGCAAGGCCCAACAUUGGUACUACAUUUGCCUAAUAACCUAAUAAAAUGCUUAGAGACUUUCCGGACCCCGUGGAUAAUUAAUCAACCCAUGGGCCAAUGCUCGACAUGAGUGUGGGUCCAAACUGAGUGAUGUCCAGCGCCCCCUGGUCACCUGAGGUCUCACCCAACCCGACGUCUUGCUGAUCCGGUGUGCCGUGAGAACAAGAUACGCGGUUCCUAUAGAGAUUGUCAGCAUUUCGAGCAGCCUUGCUGGAUUUGCUUUACCUUUCUCAAGCGUCUUGUGCGAGGGAUUCCGAGGAUACUUAGGGCUAUCUCGAGGUUGAGGUUUUCCACCAGGAAUCCGAGGAGAUCACGGGUUUUCCGCGGUCGAGGUUUCUGAUGUAGCGUGUGGUAGUUUGUGAUUGACUAGUUGUAGCACCCCUACAGGGUUAUGUCUUUCGUAAGGCCGUGCGUGUGAUUAUGUGGCAAACUUGGAAACUUUAUUUAACAUCCAGUUAUAGAUAACUUGAAGUAAACUUAACUAAAACUAGCAGGGUUACCCGCGCAUUUGAGCGGCUAGAUUUUCAUUUGUUCCUAAAGUUACUUUUGUAUAAAAGAAAUAUGAAAUUCAGAUAUGGUUCCUAAAAAUAAAAACCCUUCCAAGUUCAAACAUACGAUCUAAGAAUGCCAUAUUGAUGCUACGUAUACAUUAGAGUGCCUUGUGUUGUAACCUUAGUAAAAUAUAAAUAUGUUGAUUAUAUACACAUUGAACCGCUAAGUUUUUGGAAAUACAAUUAUAGCAGUACAUCUAUAGUACAAUCUUUCCACCAUUAUAUGAAGUUUAUAUUUUCUUUCAUAUUUAUUUUUAAUUCUAAUUAGUUUAAGUCUUAAGAACGAUAACAUGAAAGGAUUUUUUUCCUAAUCAAUUAUGUAUUAUAUGUAAUGUAAUUGCUUCAUUGAUGGUGUAUCACUUGCUUGCCCAUCAAGAAAGUUUGUGCCAAUUACAAUGCAUUGUUUUCUUCUAUUUGUUUAAAAAUACCACGAUCUUUCCAUUGUCCACACCUCCUGCAUCCACCUUGGUUCGAUUGAAAUAUCAACAACAAUCAUCAAGACGAAUCGCCAAGCUUAGUUUUCCUUAUUUUCAAAUGCGACAUGCUUAAUUUGUUGCGUUAAACUCUAGUGGAUGAAGUUUUGACUAGUUCUUCCUUUGCAUGUUAUUUGUAGACGGGAACUCCUAUAGGUUAGAUGUAAGUUACUAUGAGGUUAAGUAGGUUGCAUAUAUCAUCGCUGACGUGGAUUUAGCUAUGUGUGAUAGAGGAGCAUAUGAUUAAAUCAAGCCUAGCCAAGACACGGCUCCCUUUUGAUUUCGCAACCUUUUUUGCAUUUCAAAGAAUUCAUCGUGAUUUUUGUCUUGGCUGUUGAAGCAUUUGAUAUGUGAGCAUUGGUCUAUUGAUCUUCUGUGUAUUCGCUUGUAGAUUUCAUUUAAAAUAUUCAUUUAUAGGAAAAUAAUAUUUGUUAAUGAAUCUAAAUUAACUUAACAAUGUAUUAUUAUUUUAUGAUUAUACCACAUUUAAUUAAUGUAUAUGAUUAUGAAAUUUUAAUCACCAAACAUUGUUUUGGUUUAUAUAUUUGUUAUUUUAUUGCUGCAUGCGUCAUGUAGCUAAUAGUAACCUUACAUAUAUAUGUGAAUGCUAUUUUUUUAGCAUUAUAGUGGAUGACCAGCUAGGCUCCACCAUUCAAAAAUUUAUGUGCUCAUUUGGAUCAAAUUCCGUCUGUAUGUAAUUUUAUUUGCUUCUUUAGCACUAGGAUUUCAGCCUUCAUCUUUAUCCUAUAAUUUUGCGAAGUUUCUUAUCUACAUAGAGCCUACAUUUGACAUUUUUCUUCUUCUUAAUCACAGUUUUAAUGUCUGGUACGCUACCGAUGAAACUGAACUGCAAAUGUCAAAAAUACCAUCUAAACGCUCAAGUACGGCUAAUCUAUUUCUUGUUGAAACUAGUCGAUGAUGCUUUUAUAUAUAUACUGAAUAUUCGUAUAUCCUGUAAGAAUGUUAGUUCUAUAUUUGGAUGACCCAUAAUAUUUGAAAGACCUACUUGGAAAGUUAUGUCUAGCAUUCUCUCAAUUUGACGAAAACCUAAUACACAACUAACUAUAUUUAACCUGUGAUGAAAAAUAUGUUAAUCCACCUUUUUUUAAAUGCAAAAAUACUGAAAUAUAAUUCGAAUGGUAGAAUUUACUGUAGAUGUAUGAACAUCAAUUUGUAAACUUGUUAAUUAAUUGAUGACAUAAGGAUCGAUUUCAUCAGAUGGAAUACGCUCAUGUGUAAGUCUAAUAGCAUAUUUCCAUAUAAAAUGUAUUCAUGAUUUAGCUAUUUUUGGAGGCACAUAAAAUUUCUGAAAAAAAUUAUGUCAUCACAUGAGUAGCAAGCUUAGUUAUAUUUCCUAAUAUAAAAAGGUCGAGGUUGGAUCUGAUUCCCAUACAGAUGUGUUGGCUGGCUAGCUUUUUUUAGUAGCUUUUGGACCCGAUCCCCGCAUGUGACGUGUUGGGCUAGUCAACUUUUUUUUACCGUGGCUGCCUAGCUUUUGGGUCCGAUGCCAAGUCACAUGCAGUGGAAAUUAAUGAGUUGCGUGUCCAUGUCCUACUCUCUUUCUUUUAUUUUUAUUUUCACAGGUGUGUGUUAUUAUUAUCAAUGGAUCUAAGCUGUUUAAAUAACUUAAUUAACUUUAGAGCAAUAAAUCAUCACCGUUCAUUUUUUAUCAUUUUAAUAAUAUGAUUAAUAUGCCAACUACGUGCGUAACCGUGAGUGUCUCUUCUCGUGAGUUCUGCAUCUAGAAGAGGACACGGUAGGGUUAUGACUAAUGUAAGUAGGUGUUCAGGAUCAUUCAUUUGAUCAUUAUUAGUUCACGUUCGUUUUUGCAUAGAUCACCCCCUAUUAGUCUUGAACUCGUGGGUUAGUCACCUCAAAUAAAUGCUUAGUCGCUUGCUGCAACCUCACUACUUAACCAUACCUCACUCAUUAAGCUUUGCUAGUCUUGAUACCUUUGGAAAUGAGAUUGCUCAGUCCGUGUGGCUCACAUAUUACUACAACAACAGUUGCAGAUACAUGUAAAGCGAUACUUUGACGUGAGCGUGAUGAUUGUUCUAUUUGAAGUUUCGUCUUCUUCUUCAUUGCUCUACGAUGGGUUCGAGGCCAGCAGCCUGGGAUAGCAAGGAUGGACGUUGUUCUUUUAUCGUUUUUUUUUUGUCCGUAGCCGGACCCUGCUCUUCUAGUUGAUGUUUGUAUGUAUUGUUGUAUUGAGAUGAUCAUGUUGUAGCUUGUGGCGAGUAUAAGUCAAUUACAUAUACUCAUCUCUUUUGUACACGUACUUGUAACGAUAUCCAUUCUUGCGAAAUGACGAGAUGCGCUUGUAUCCCUCUUGAGGCAUUCGUGCCAAAAUAAGGAAAGGAUUGCAUCUUGGGCGUUACAUUUGGUG